rnacentral:tRNA from 1 species
UGCUGGCGGGCCGCGCGGGCGGCGUGCCGCUCGCCCUGGCGUUGGCCGCGUUCUGGGUCGCGGGCGAAUGGC